rnacentral:rRNA from 1 species
UGCAAGUCGAACGGCAGCAUGAUCUAGCUUGCUAGAUUGAUGGCGAGUGGCGAACGGGUGAGUAAUACAUCGGAACGUGCCCUGUAGUGGGGGAUAACUAGUCGAAAGAUUAGCUAAUACCGCAUACGACCUGAGGGUGAAAGUGGGGGACCGCAAGGCCUCAUGCUAUAGGAGCGGCCGAUGUCUGAUUAGCUAGUUGGUGAGGUAAAGGCUCACCAAGGCGACGAUCAGUAGCUGGUCUGAGAGGACGAUCAGCCACACUGGGACUGAGACACGGCCCAGACUCCUACGGGAGGCAGCAGUGGGGAAUUUUGGACAAUGGGGGCAACCCUGAUCCAGCAAUGCCGCGUGUGUGAAGAAGGCCUUCGGGUUGUAAAGCACUUUUGUCCGGAAAGAAAUCGCACUUACUAAUAUUAGGUGUGGAUGACGGUACCGGAAGAAUAAGGACCGGCUAACUACGUGCCAGCAGCCGCGGUAAUACGUAGGGUCCAAGCGUUAAUCGGAAUUACUGGGCGUAAAGCGUGCGCAGGCGGUUGUGCAAGACCGAUGUGAAAUCCCCGGGCUUAACCUGGGAAUUGCAUUGGUGACUGCACGGCUAGAGUGUGUCAGAGGGGGGUAGAAUUCCACGUGUAGCAGUGAAAUGC